GACGAACGCUGGCGGCGUGCUUAACACAUGCAAGUCGAACGGAAAGGCCUUUUCGGCGGUACUCGAGUGGCGAACGGGUGAGUAACACGUGGGUGAUCUGCCCUGCACUCUGGGAUAAGCCUGGGAAACUGGGUCUAAUACCGGAUAGGACCGCACUUUAGUGUGUGUGGUGGAAAGUUUUUUCGGUGUAGGAUGAGCCCGCGGCCUAUCAGCUUGUUGGUGGGGUAAUGGCCUACCAAGGCGGCGACGGGUAGCCGGACUGAGAGGUUGGUCGGCCACAUUGGGACUGAGAGAGGGCCCAGACGCCUACGGGAGGCAGCAGGGGGGAAUAUUGCACAAUGGGCGCAAGCCUGAUGCAGCGACGCCGCGUGGGGGAUGACGGCCUUCGGGUUGUAAACGCCUUUCGCCAGGGACGAAGCGUUUUGUGACGGUACCUGGAGAAGAAGCACCGGCUAACUACGUG
rnacentral:rRNA from 1 species